rnacentral:rRNA from 1 species
AGAUGGCGACCGGCGCACGGGUGAGUAACACGUAUCCAACCUGCCGAUAACUCGGGGAUAGCCUUUCGAAAGAAAGAUUAAUACCCGAUGGUAUAAUCAGACCGCAUGGUCUUGUUAUUAAAGAAUUUCGGUUAUCGAUGGGGAUGCGUUCCAUUAGGCAGUUGGUGAGGUAACGGCUCACCAAACCUUCGAUGGAUAGGGGUUCUGAGAGGAAGGUCCCCCACAUGGAACUGAGACACGGUCCAA